GUGCAAGCAGUCGCGGUAAUACAAAGAGGGCUAACGUUAAUCAUAAUGGUUUAAAGAAUUUGUAGAAUUAAUAAAAAUAAUAUUUAUUUAGAAUUAAUAAAUUUAAUAAAAGAAUUAUAAUAGUAAAGAUGAAAUAAUAAUAAUAAUUAUAAGACUGAUAUAUGUGAAAAUAUUUAUUAAAUAUUAAUUGACAUUGAGAAAUGAAAGCUAAAGUAGCAAUACGGAUUCGAUACCCGAGUAGUUUUAGCUGUAAACUAUGAAUACCUUUUUAUAAUAAAUAUAUAAAUUAUAAAAUAAAUGAAAAUUAAAGUAUUCCACCUGAAGAGUAUAUUCGCAAGAAUGAAACUCAAGACAUUAGACGGUUACAAACUUAAGCAGUGGAGCAU
rnacentral:rRNA from 1 species